UACGGAGGGGGCUAGCGUUGUUCGGAAUUACUGGGCGUAAAGCGCACGUAGGCGGCUUUGUAAGUUAGAGGUGAAAGCCCGGGGCUCAACCCCGGAAUUGCCUUUAAGACUGCAUCGCUUGAAUCCGGGAGAGGUGAGUGGAAUUCCGAGUGUAGAGGUGAAAUUCGUAGAUAUUCGGAAGAACACCAGUGGCGAAGGCGGCUCACUGGACCGGUAUUGACGCUGAGGUGCGAAAGCGUGGGGAGGCAAACAGG
rnacentral:rRNA from 1 species